AACGCUGGCGGAAUGCUUUACACAUGCAAGUCGAACGGCAGCACGGAGAGCUUGCUCUCUGGUGGCGAGUGGCGAACGGGUGAGUAAUAUAUCGGAACGUGUCCAAUAAUGGGGGAUAACGAGUCGAAAGAUUCGCUAAUACCGCAUACGCCCUACGGGGGAAAGCAGGGGAUCGUAAGACCUUGCGUUAAUGGAGCGGCCGAUAUCUGAUUAGCUUGUUGGUGAGGUAAAGGCUCACCAAGGCGACGAUCAGUAGCUGGUUUGAGAGAACGACCAGCCACACUGGAACUGAGACACGGUCCAGACUCCUACGGGAGGCAGCAGUGGGGAAUUUUGGACAAUGGGGGCAACCCUGAUCCAGCCAUUCCGCGUGAGUGAAGAAGGCCUUCGGGUUGUAAAGCUCUUUCGCAAGGGAAGAAAACUUAUGAUCGAAUAAAUCAUGAGGUUGACGGUACCUUGAUAAGAAGCACCGGCUAACUACGUGCCAGCAGCCGCGGUAAUACGUAGGGUGCGAGCGUUAAUCGGAAUUACUGGGCGUAAAGCGUGCGCAGGCGGUUUUGUAAGUCGGAUGUGAAAUCCCCGGGCUCAACCUGGGAACUGCGUUCGAAACUGCAAGGCUAGAGUGUGUCAGAGGGGGGUAGAAUUCCACGUGUAGCAGUGAAAUGCGUAGAGAUGUGGAGGAAUACCAAUGGCGAAGGCAGCCCC
rnacentral:rRNA from 1 species